rnacentral:lncRNA from 1 species
UCGCCAUUCAGACACUCCUGUGAUCACAAAGAUUUUUGAAAUGUUAAUUAGCACAAAAAGACAGAAUGUUACAUCUAAUACAAUAAUAUUCACUAAACUCCUAAUCAAACAUGAUAAAACCAUUCCUUGACAGAAUUAGCAACAAACUCCAUUUAAAUUACGAAAUUCAAGACACUCAGAUAUUAUAUGAUUGCAGAUAAUCACCGGGAAAACGUAAUGAAACCAUUUCCUGACAAAAAUUAGCAACAACUCCACCAGCAAAAUUCAAGCAUGAAUCAAGUACACAGAUAUUAUAAGAUUAUUGGUAUCACCUUAGGAACAUACUGAACCAUUUCCUAACAUAAGUUAGCGACAAACUCCAUCAAUUACGAAAUUCAAGCAUGAAAACUAGCAACAAACUCCAUCAAUUACGAAAUUCAAGCAUGUAUCAAGCAUUCAGAUAUUAAAUUAUUAAUGUACCACAGAUACAUGAUUAAGCAUAAUAAAA